AUUGAACGCUGGCGGCAGGCCUAACACAUGCAAGUCGAACGGUAACAGGAAGCAGCUUGCUGCUUUGCUGACGAGUGGCGGACGGGUGAGGAAUGUCUGGGAAACUGCCCGAUGGAGGGGGAUAACUACUGGAAACGGUAGCUAAUACCGCAUAACGUCGCAAGACCAAAGAGGGGGACCUUAGGGCCUCUUGCCAUCGGAUGUGCCCAGAUGGGAUUAGCUAGUAGGUGGGGUAACGGCUCACCUAGGCGACGAUGCCUAGCUGGUCUGAGAGGAUGACCGGCCACACUGGAACUGAGACACGGUCCAGACUCCUGCGGUGAGCAGCAGUGGGGAAUAUUGCACAAUGGGCGCAAGCCUGAUGCAGCCAUGCCGCGUGUAUGAAGAAGGCCUUCGGGUUGUAAAGUACUUUCAGCGGGGAGGAAGGGAAUAAAGUUAAUACCUUUGCUCAUUGACGUUACCCGCAGAAGAAGCACCGGCUAACUCCGUG
rnacentral:rRNA from 1 species